UAUUAGGUCAUUCUUGGAUUUUAGCCAGUCUGGCAUUAAGUUGUCGGGUUGGUGAAAACCAUCGUUUACUGUGAAAAAAUUAGAGUGUUCAAAGCAGACUUAUGUCGUUGAAUAGAUUAGCAUGGAAUAAUAAUAUAGGACUUUUGUACUAUUUUGUUGGUUAGGUGUAAAAGUAAUGAUCAAUAGGGACAGUUGGGCGUAUUCGUAUUUCGUUGCUAGAGGUGAAAUUCUUGGAUUUCCGAAAGACGAACUACUGCGAAAGCAUUUACGAAGGAUGUUUUCAUUAAUCAAGAACGAAAGUUAGGGGAUCGAAGAUGAUUAGAUACCAUCGUAGUCUUAACCAUAAACUAUGCCGACUCGGGAUUGGGCG
rnacentral:rRNA from 1 species